AUGGCUCAGGAUGAACGCUAGCUACAGGCUUAACACAUGCAAGUCGAGGGGCAGCAUUGGGAUAGCUUGCUAUUCAGAUGGCGACCGGCGCACGGGUGAGUAACGCGUAUCCAACCUUCCUGCCAGUAGGGAACAGCCCGGCGAAAGUCGGAUUAAUGCCCUAUGUUCUUCAAUGCGGACAUCUAAGUUGAAGGAAAGAUUCAUCGCUGGCAGAUGGGGAUGCGUCCGAUUAGCUUGCCGGCGGGGUAACGGCCCACCGGGGCGACGAUCGGUAGGGGUUCUGAGAGGAAGGUCCCCCACACUGGUACUGAGACACGGACCAGACUCCUACGGGAGGCAGCAGUGAGGAAUAUUGGUCAAUGGGCGUAAGCCUGAACCAGCCAAGUAGCGUGCAAGGAUGACGGCCCUACGGGUUGUAAACUGCUUUUAUGCGGGGAUAAAGUGCGGCACGUGUGCCGCUUUGCAGGUACCGCAUGAAUAAGGACCGGCUAAUUCCGUGCCAGCAGCCGC
rnacentral:rRNA from 1 species